UUAUUAAUUAUAAAAAGAGUUCUAUUUUACUUGCACUUUGAAAUGACAAUGACAUAACAAAUUAGAAAUAUCAAUCACAAAAUUUUUAUUCAUGUUUGUUAUGGUUGUGGGUAUAAUAUAUGAUUUCAAGCGUGAAAAAUUAUAUAUAUAAUAUAGAAGAUAUCGAAGUCACUGUUGCUAAAAAAAGUUCAUUAUCGAAGAUGAUUGAGGGACAUGCUUCUGAUUUUGAUUCGCGUAUGUGCUGCUAGUUCUGUUUCACUAUCUAUUAUUACUGCUCUCCUGUCGGUGUGACAAUCUGAGUAUGUUGUGCUCUCUUUCCUGCUCAAACGAAUUCAGCUAAGUAGAAAAAUUUGGGUUAAAAAAAGAUAAUGAAGGGAAUUUCCAUACUUCUACAGUUGGAGAUGAAUUAUUAUAACAUUAAAUGGUACCCUUAAGAAAAUAUUUGUUUGAUAUACUAUAUUGAGUUAUAAUUUAAAAAUAAAUUAGUUAGGUAUUGGAAAUUUUUUUCAAAAAAAAAAAAAAUUAAGAAAUUAAACUUGGUAUGAGUUGGAUGAGUUGAGUUGUUACACAUUAUUUAGCACAUUUUAACUUUAUUAAAUUAUCGAAUCCACACAUUUUAACUUGAUCUAUUUGGUUCGACUCACCAUUUGACACCCCUAGAUACUUUUAGGUGAUAACUGCCCUGCCGUGUUUAGAAAUGUGAUUAGAUCAAUUUAAAAAUAAGAAAAAUACAUCAUUUCAUCUUUAAAUCAGUAUACAUAAUUUAAUUUAGAUCCUAAACUAUAUAGAUAAUUAUAUAUCCCCCUUAAUAACUCUGAAGUGAAUUAAAUUUAACCCUUCGAAGCCCAAGUGAAGUCACAUGUUGCUGGAUGUGUUAAAUAGAUAACUUUGUCUUUUAUUUUAUUUUUUAAACUAAAAUUUUCCUUUUAAAUAAUGUAACGGUUAUAAAAUCCCCAAAUUCUCCUAAAAAUUCUAAUUUACUCCUUUCUCAAUCUAUCCAAAAUUUGCUCCAUCUAUAAAAUUUAAGCAAAAAUUGAGAUUGAUUUCUCUUCCAAUUUAAAGAAUCCUAUUUUAUUUUUGUAGCACAUAAUGAGGUCAGUUAAUUUGACUAAAUUUUGUAUGAAAGAAAAUGAUAAUGCUUUGUACAAAGAAGUUUGUUGUAAUCAUGAAUUUUUGUUGCAUAUGAAGACAUCUUGAACUUCGAGGAAUUUUGGCAUAAAAUAUUGGGCAUGUCCUUAUCAUGGGGGUCAAAGAUUUUGAGACUUUUAGUGUUGAAGGGAUAGAGAAGAUAUUAAUUCGAGGUCCAAAGAUGUGAUUCCUAAACUAAUAGAGAAAUUAGGUGACCUUGAGAAUUUUUUGAGUCUUCUCAAUGUAUUGACAAUCAUGUAUUGGUUAAUGAAGUUGAAAAAUUUAAGUUGAAUAAAUUUGUUGAGGAAGCUUCUCACGAAGUAGACAAGCCCAAAGAAUCCAAACAAGAUGAUAAGUGUGUUGAUAUGAAAUUAGAGAAGUUGAAAGAAGAGAUUGAGAAGAUCAAAGAAAGAGAGAAGAAGUGGAGAAUAAUUGUCAAAUUUAUUGUGUUUUGUUCCUUUGUACUACUAAUAGCUAUAAGCUAUUGGCUUGGGAUAAUACAUAUAAACAAGGUUCAAUGAGGUUUUUUUAGCACUAGGUUGUUGUUAGAUUAUAUGUAGCAUAUUUUGUAUUGAACGGUGCAGCUUCUUUAAGCUUCUUUUGUAAUAUAAUUGGGUUGGUGGUUGUCUCUUGAGCACUAGGUUGUUAGAUGAUAUCUAGCAUAUUUUGUAUUGAAUGGAGUAGCUUCUUUAAGCUUCUUUUGUAAUGUACUUUAGCUAGUAAUUGUAUCUUGAUAUAUAUGAAGAGAGGUUGAAUUGAUUGCA